UACGAAGGGGGCUAGCGUUGCUCGGAUUUACUGGGCGUAAAGGGCGCGUAGGCGGACAGUUUAGUCAGAGGUGAAAGCCCAGGGCUCAACCUUGGAAUUGCCUUUGAUACUGGCUGUCUUGAGUACGGGAGAGGUGAGUGGAACUCCGAGUGUAGAGGUGAAAUUCGUAGAUAUUCGGAAGAACACCAGUGGCGAAGGCGACUCACUGGCCCGUUACUGACGCUGAGGCGCGAAAGCCAGGGGAGCAAACGGG
rnacentral:rRNA from 1 species